AUCUCCAAAAGACCAUCAGAUGCUGUGGUUGCAUGAAGGUUCAUUCAAUUUGCAAGAAUUCAUCCACUCAUACGCAUGUAUAUGAAAUCCAUGUGUGUCCCUCAGAAUGGCUACGACAAGCGCCUUCUAUGCCGUUCUCUG